rnacentral:rRNA from 1 species
UACGGAGGGUGCAAGCGUUAUCCGGAUUCACUGGGUUUAAAGGGUGCGUAGGAGGGCAGGUAAGUCAGUGGUGAAAUCCCCGAGCUUAACUUGGGAACUGCCGUUGAUACUAUCUGUCUUGAAUAUUGUGGAGGUAAGCGGAAUAUGUCAUGUAGCGGUGAAAUGCUUAGAUAUGACAUAGAACACCAAUUGCGAAGGCAGCUUCUACACAACUAUUGACUCUGAUGCACGAAAGCGUGGGGAUCAAACAGG